GUCUGGAGUACUGUUUGGUCUUGUAUCGGCAGUAUUCUUAGGCAUCCGUAUGAGAAACCUACUCGCACUUCACCGUGCGGUAGGUGUAUCAUACACUUUACUUUGAAAAAAUUAGAGUGUUUCAGGCAGGCAAGUGCUGGAAUACCAAAGCAUGGAAUAAUGGAAUAGGACUUUUGACCUAUUUUAUUGGUACAUUAGGUCAAAGUA
rnacentral:rRNA from 1 species